rnacentral:rRNA from 1 species
GUGCCAGCAGCCGCGGUAAUACGGAGGGUGCGAGCGUUAAUCGGAAUUACUGGGCGUAAAGCGCGCGUAGGCGGUUUGUUAAGUCAGCUGUGAAAGCCCCGGGCUCAACCUGGGAACUGCAGUUGAUACUUGCCGACUGGAGUGCGAGAGAGGGAGGUAGAAUUCCAUGUGUAGCGGUGAAAUGCGUAGAUAUAUGGAGGAAUACCGGUGGCGAAGGCGGCCUCCUGGCUCGACACUGACGCUGAGGUGCGAAAGCGUGGGGAUCAAACAGGAUUAGAAACCCUCGUAGUCC